rnacentral:rRNA from 1 species
UAGGGAAUUGUUCGCAAUGGGCGCAAGCCUGACGACGCAACGCCGCGUGGAGGAUGAAGGUCUUCGGGUUGUAAACUCCUGUCAUUUGGGAACAAGUCGGACGUAGUAACUAUACGUCCGUUGAUAGUACCAGAAGAGGAAGAGACGGCUAACUCUGUGCCAGCAGCCGCGGUAAUACAGAGGUCUCAAGCGUUGUUCGGAUUCAUUGGGCGUAAAGGGUGUGUAGGUGGCGCGCUAAGUCGGGUGUGAAAUUUCGGAGCUUAACUCCGAAACUGCAUUCGAUACUGGCGUGCUUGAGGACUGGAGAGGAGACUGGAAUUCAUGGUGUAGCAGUGAAAUGCGUAGAGAUCAUGAGGAAGACCAGUGGCGAAGGCGGGUCUCUGGACAGUUCCUGACACUGAGACACGAAGGCCAGGGGAGCAAAC